UUAUAAGGUGCUUUAACAAGCUUAAUAGGGAAAGUUAAGAGCUGCAGCCCCCGCUACUGUUAAUAGGGACGAAGGUGAAUAUGCCACUGUAAGGAAACUUAUGGUAAGGCCACUGGAGGAUGAACUAUGAGCCAGGAGACCUGCCUUAUAAGUUG
rnacentral:ncRNA from 1 species